UAACCUCCUUUCCCACUGGGUACAGUGC
rnacentral:piRNA from 1 species